rnacentral:rRNA from 1 species
UACGUAGGGUGCAAGCGUUAUCCGGAAUUAUUGGGCGUAAAGAGCUCGUAGGCGGUUCGUCGCGUCUGGUGUGAAAGUCCAUCGCUUAACGGUGGAUCUGCGCCGGGUACGGGCGGACUGGAGUGCGGUAGGGGAGACUGGAAUUCCCGGUGUAACGGUGGAAUGUGUAGAUAUCGGGAAGAACACCAAUGGCGAAGGCAGGUCUCUGGGCCGUUACUGACGCUGAGGAGCGAAAGCGUGGGGAGCGAACAGG